rnacentral:rRNA from 1 species
UACGUAGGGUGCGAGCGUUGUCCGGAAUUACUGGGCGUAAAGGGCGCGUAGGCGGCCUUCUAAGUCGAACGUGAAAUCCCUGGGCUCAACCCUGGAACUGCCUUUGAUACUGUCGAUCUGGAGUAUGGAAGAGGUGAGUGGAAUUCCGAGUGUAGAGGUGAAAUUCGUAGAUAUUCGGAGGAACACCAGUGGCGAAGGCGGCUCACUGGUCCAUUACUGACGCUGAGGUGCGAAAGCGUGGGGAGCAAACAGG